UACGGAGGAUCCAAGCGUUAUCCGGAUUUAUUGGGUUUAAAGGGUGCGUAGGCGGGUUUUUAAGUCAGUGGUGAAAGUUUGCGGCUCAACCGUAAAAUUGCCAUUGAAACUGAAGACCUUGAGUGUAAAUGAGGUAGGCGGAAUGUGUUGUGUAGCGGUGAAAUGCUUAGAUAUAACACAGAACACCAAUUGCGAAGGCAGCUUACUGGGAUACAACUGACGCUGAGGCACGAAAGCGUGGGGAUCAAACAGG
rnacentral:rRNA from 1 species